rnacentral:tRNA from 1 species
GGAGGUACAGCUCAGUCGUAUAGUGCAUGUUUAGCAUGCACGAGGGCCUGGGUUCAAUCCCCAGUACCUCCA